UGAGUAACACGUAUCCAACCUGCCGUCUACUCUUGGACAGCCUUCUGAAAGGAAGAUUAAUACAAGAUGGCAUCAUGAGUCCACAUGUUCACAUGAUUAAAGGUAUUCCGGUAGACGAUGGGGAUGCGUUCCAUUAGAUAGUAGGCGGGGUAACGGCCCACCUAGUCUUCGAUGGAUAGGGGUCCUGAGAGGAAGGUCCCCCACAUUGGAACUGAGACACGGUCCAA
rnacentral:rRNA from 1 species